GAUGAACGCUAGCUACAGGCUUAACACAUGCAAGUCGAGGGGAAACGGCAUUAAGUGCUUGCACUUUUUGGACGUCGACCGGCGCACGGGUGAGUAACGCGUAUCCAACCUUCCCAUGACUAAGGGAUAACCUGCCGAAAGGCAGACUAAUACCUUAUGGUCUUCACUGACGGCAUCAGAUGUGAAGUAAAGAUUUAUCGGUUAUGGAUGGGGAUGCGUCUGAUUAGCUUGUUGGCGGGGUAACGGCCCACCAAGGCAACGAUCAGUAGGGGUUCUGAGAGGAAGGUCCCCCACAUUGGAACUGAGACACGGUCCAAACUCCUACGGGAGGCAGCAGUGAGGAAUAUUGGUCAAUGGGCGAGAGCCUGAACCAGCCAAGUAGCGUGCAGGAUGACGGCCCUAUGGGUUGUAAACUGCUUUUGUAUGGGGAGAAAGUCAAUCACGUGUGAUUGUUUGCAGGUACCAUACGAAUAAGGACCGGCUAAUUCCGUG
rnacentral:rRNA from 1 species